UUCUCGUUAAGCCACCCCCGUCGCGAGGCGGGUUCGGAAAGCCACGGGUCUUCAGGCGGGUCGAAGAAAGCCGGGUUGCAUUG
rfam:Thiobacillus sp. SCN 63-374 ABS92_C0043, whole genome shotgun sequence.